CCCUGCCGCGGCACCUCCCUCCAUGGCAGUUCCCGAGACCCGACCCAACCAUACUAUUUAUAUAAACAACCUCAAUGAGAAGAUCAAGAAGGAUGAGCUGAAGAAGUCCCUGUAUGCUAUCUUCUCCCAGUUUGGCCAGAUCCUGGAUAUCCUGGUGUCACGGAGCCUGAAGAUGAGGGGCCAAGCCUUUGUCAUCUUUAAGGAGCGUAUCCAGUAUGCCAAGACCGACUCGGAUAUCAUUGCCAAGAUGAAGGGCACAUUCGUGGAGCGUGACCGUAAGCGGGAGAAGAGGAAGCCCAAGAGCCAGGAGACCCCAGCUGCAAAGAAGGCCGUGCAGGGCGGGGCAGCCGCCCCUGUAGUGGGGGCCGUCCCAGGGCCUGUCCCGGGCAUGCCGCCGAUGACUCAGGCACCCCGCAUCAUGCACCACAUGCCAGGCCAGCCUCCGUACAUGCCGCCCCCUGGCAUGAUCCCACCUCCAGGCCUCGCACCUGGCCAGAUACCACCGGGGGCCAUGCCCCCACAGCAGCUUAUGCCAGGGCAGAUGCCACCUGCUCAGCCUCUUUCAGAAAACCCUCCAAAUCACAUCUUGUUCCUCACCAACCUGCCAGAGGAGACCAAUGAGCUCAUGCUGUCCAUGCUUUUCAAUCAGUUCCCUGGCUUCAAGGAGGUUCGCCUGGUCCCAGGGCGGCACGACAUCGCCUUUGUGGAGUUUGACAAUGAGGUUCAGGCAGGGGCUGCUCGUGAUGCCCUACAGGGCUUUAAGAUCACCCAGAACAACGCCAUGAAGAUCUCCUUUGCCAAGAAGUAGCACCUUUUCCCCAUGCUUGCCCUUGCCCCCGUUUGGGGGCCUUCCCUCUUCCCCUUGGCUCGGCCCCCUGAAGUCUAGAAUUCAGGAAGAUGCCGCUGCUGCUAACAGGAGGCCCAGACGGACUUGAACACACAUGGGAAGCUACCGACCAGAUGCUGGCACAAACAACUGACCUCCCUUGCUGACCAGCUGUUGCCAGCCAGAAGACUCAAAUUCCUCUUCAGUGCCCUAGUUGCAGGGGAGUCUGGGAAAUGUAGUCUCUGGCUAGACAAUCAUGUUUGCAGCUGAAGCUACGGAUAAGGAAAGAUGGAAUGGAGGAUCUCCCUUAACUGUCUGUUACACACCUAAUCUGGAGAAUUUUAUAUUGACUCAAAAAAAAAAUAUUGCUUCAGACCCUUUCUCAUACUAUAUAGAUGGGAAAAUAAGAUUAUUUGACAGAAGCACAAAAUGAACCACAAAAACAAGGGCAGUAGGACAUAGGCUUACAUUCGCUGAAUAUUUUUCCUGCCAAGGCUAGCCCACACCUGUCUCUCCUCUGGUCUUAUCAUUAAAGAGGAACGUCAGUGAAGUGAUGAGACUUGUAACACCAAAUGCAGAUUUUUUCCCUGUGAGAUCUGAAAGAUUGGAAGUAGAAAGAGAUGGUCCCCUUUACUACAAGACACAGUGUUAUUGCAGAUGGCAAGUGGAAACAUCUUGCCCACCACACUGGUUCUGUGGUCAGCAGAUCCCAGUCUCUGCUGUCUGCAUGGGGGACAUGCAGACAUUCCUAGCUAUCCCUUCACCCACUCAGUCAUUUUCUUGUGUAAAGAGGAAUCUAUAUUAAUACUGUGGUAUUGUUUGUACUGUUACUCCCCACUGCCAGGCACUUAGCAAGCACUCAAUAAAUUCAGCAGAUACUUGCUGAGUACUUUUUCUGUGCUAAAUACUGUUCUUGGUAUAGGAUAUACAAUGGUGAAUAAAAUAGACAAGCUAAUGUCAA